UGACUUUUGCUGCUUUGUGUUCAUUCGUAGGAAAAGUACAUUUUCUCUGAAUCUAUAGAGUCACGGGUUUUCUUUCCUAGGAAUUGAUUGGAGGCAGCCACGACAACAAUAGAAGACAUUAAAACUAGAAUCUUAAUGUUCUAAAAACCAGAUAGUUCAACACUGGAGGAGUAAUUGUACAACAAUGUGAAGGAUUCACCUCUCUGCAUAUGUGAACAAACGUUGAUGUCAGGGUGAUUGACUGUAAUUGAGUUUACUGGCAGGAUGCCCUUCCCUAUGCCUAUGAGGAAUUCACAGCAGGCAACUAAUCAUUGAACCCAGAAAGAAGAAAAUGUCUGCUGCUACCUAGGAUUGAACUGAUAGCCUCCAGAUUUUGAGGCGAGAGCUCCACCUCUAGGCCACCACACCACUCGGACUGCAUUUAUCAGUUGAUGUUAAGGUCCCUGUGGAUCCAGAGUUAAGUAGAAAAGUGAUACAGAAAUAGAUGUUAUUGUUGUGAUUGACAAGAUCAAGUAACAUGGCCCACUGCUACCUUUACUGAGAUAGUUAAAAGACCAACACAAUGUGGAAGAACUGUGGAAGAAAAAAACAAAGGGGAAAAAAAUACUGAAGAGAAAUUGGAAGACUUCCACAAGUCAAGAAAAUCCCUUCUAUUAAUGGGGCAUCAUCACUGAUGAUAGGCAGAGUCAGCAGUUCGGUAAUUAAAGCAAGCUAGAAGAGCGAAAGAGACAAGAUUAGACCUAGGUCAUCCUUCUUGUUCCUGUCCAAGUCCAAGUCCAAGUCCAAGUCUAAGAUCUACGACCACUGCCUCCUAUCAGAUUGACUAAACUUCCAAGGUCAGAUGCACAAAUGGCAACUUGCAAGGUAGAUUUAUGUAACAAGGACGAGGUUUAUUAAUCCAUUUUAAAAUUAUCAUAAAUAAGUUUGAUUUGAAAAUAUUAAUCUAAAGAGAAAUUUCCUGAUUAGAACAAUUAAUCAGUGGAACAACUUGCCUCAAGAAGUUGUGAAGGCUUCAACGCUGGAAAUUUUUCAGAAGAGAUUGGACAACGAUUUGUCUGAAAGGGUUUCCUAUCUAAUGAUAUGACUAUCAUUAAGUGUUGUACCUUAGAUUUCUUCAUGAUCUUUUAUGUACACUGAGAG